GUGAAGAAACAGCACAGAAAAACACGCAAAAACUGUAUGGCCUUGAACAAGUCUGUGAGAAACUGGCCCACGAAAACAAUUUCAUGAAAAGUACAUUAUCAAAUGCUCACAAGGCACACUCAUCCCUGCUGGCAGCCUGUGCAGUGCUGUCAGGGGCUCUGUGUCCUCUCUAUGGCAGACUGUGUGCUGUGUCUUAACAAAGAGACAUUCUCCAAGAACAGGGGAACCACCACAAAUUAUUGAACUGGAAGAUCACCAGGCUCCUUUAUGCUUUCCCUACUAAUGUGGAAAACAGCCAAGGCAAAGGCAGACUGAGGCAGAGAAGAGCCAAGCACCUGAUUUACGUCUUCCAAAGAGCUAUGAUUGAAAUUCUGGCUGCUAACAGGCUGAGGGCUCUGGCCUGAUAUUCUUGUACCUUUUUGUCUGGACAGAGGAUGCACUGGAAUUCAAGUUUGUGUGGGAGAAUCCAGAGGCAGGCAUGUGUCACGUUUUGAAGAGGAAGGAGUUGACUGUAUUGAAGCACCUGACUGGUUGACUAGCUCUAACCUCUAUACUGCAAUAAUCAGCUCCAUCUCUGAACUGGAGGAUGUUCUGAGCAAACAAGGUAAUUUUAACAGUAUAUUGUUGUAGCAGAAAUAUAUUAAAAAAAAUAAAUAAGUCAGGGUGGUUAUACCAUUUCCAUUUUUAUGAUUUUUAUCUAAACUAUUCUGGAUCAUAGCUCUGAAGAGAUAUUUCUGAAUAUUAUGAUAGGCAUCUUUGACUAGAGGUUAUAUCUUGGGCUAGUCAAUACCAAUUUUACUGGGGCUGUUUCCCCUCUUCUACAUUCUCUGUACUGUUGGAACAGUGUAGAGUUGUGUUUUUUAGGUUUUAUUACAUUUGCAUUAUGUAUAGGUUUGUUCCAUGUACCCCCGGUUCUGUAAUGGUUCCCCCCGGGUUUUCCCGUCUUUCCCCGCGGGUCUGUUGUCCCCAAAAAUGCCAAGUCAUUCACCUUGUUUACUACAGAUGCCUGUCUGUCACUCCGUGUCCCUUCCCCCCCACCUGGAAUCUUUCACCCAGGACGCCGGGUGAUAGGCAGAGGACCAGGGACCCUCCACCUGUCCGUCCUUCAUUGGAUGUACCCCUGUACCCCACUACCCUCAAACCUCCCGUGGCGUUACCCCAUCGGCUGCUCCGGUUUUCUCCCGUUCUGUACUUAGUCCGUGCGCACAGCGCACUCCGGGCUUUCUCCUGGCUGGCCCCAGCGCGCGCCGCCGCCCGCCCAAGCCACCCCGGGGCUUUCUCCUGGCCGGCUCCAGCGCACUCCACCCGCUCGCGCCGCUCUGGCAAACACAGGUGCGGCACGCCUGGUUCCCUUCAAAUUAUUGUAUUCCCGUUGGAUUGCAAUAAAUGGAAUUCGCCCCCC